AACGAACGCUGGCGGCAUGCCUAAUACAUGCAAGUCGAACGAGAUCUUCGGAUCUAGUGGCGCACGGGUGCGUAACGCGUGGGAAUCUGCCCUUGGGUUCGGAAUAACUUCUGGAAACGGAAGCUAAUACCGGAUGAUGACGUAAGUCCAAAGAUUUAUCGCCCAAGGAUGAGCCCGCGUAGGAUUAGCUAGUUGGUGGGGUAAAGGCCCACCAAGGCGACGAUCCUUAGCUGGUCUGAGAGGAUGAUCAGCCACACUGGGACUGAGACACGGCCCAGACUCCUACGGGAGGCAGCAGUAGGGAAUAUUGGAAAAUGGGGGAAACCCUGAUCCAGCAAUGCCGCGUGAGUGAUGAAGGCCUUAGGGUUGUAAAGCUCUUUUACCCGGGAUGAUAAUGACAGUACCGGGAGAAUAAGCUCCGGCUAACUCCGUG
rnacentral:rRNA from 1 species